GACGAACGCUGGCGGCGUGCUUAACACAUGCAAGUCGAACGAAGAGCGAUGGAAGCUUGCUUCUAUCAAUCUUAGUGGCGAACGGGUGAGUAACGCGUAAUCAACCUGCCCUUCAGAGGGGGACAACAGUUGGAAACGACUGCUAAUACCGCAUACGAUCUAAUCUCGGCAUCGAGGAUAGAUGAAAGGUGGCCUCUACAUGUAAGCUAUCACUGAAGGAGGGGAUUGCGUCUGAUUAGCUAGUUGGAGGGGUAACGGCCCACCAAGGCGAUGAUCAGUAGCCGGUCUGAGAGGAUGAACGGCCACAUUGGGACUGAGACACGGCCCGGACUCCUACGGGAGGCAGCAGUGGGGAAUCUUCCGCAAUAGACGAAAGUCUGACGGAGCAACGCCGCGUGAGUGAUGACGGCCUUCGGGUUGUAAAGCUCUGUUAAUCGGGACGAAAGGCCUUCUUGCGAAUAGUGAGAAGGAUUGACGGUACCGGAAUAGAAAGCCACGGCUAACUACGUG
rnacentral:rRNA from 1 species